UGGGGAAUUUUGCACAAUGGGGGAAACCCUGAUGCAGCGACGCCGCGUGAUUUAGAAGGCCUUCGGGUUGUAAAAAUCUUUUCUAUGGGAAGAAAAUGACAGUACCAUAGGGAUAAGGACCGGCUAAUUACGUGCCAGCAGCCGCGGUAAUACGUAAGGUCCGAGCGUUGUCCGGAAUCAUUGGGCGUAAAGGGUACGUAGGCGGGUAAGCAAGUUAGAAGUGAAAUCCUGUAGCUCAACUACAGUAAGCUUUUAAAACUGCUCAUCUUGAGAUAUGGAAGGGAAAGUGGAAUUCCUAGUGUAGCGGUGAAAUGCGCAGAUAUUAGGAGGAAUACCGGUGGCGAAGGCGACUUUCUGGCCAUAAUCUGACGCUGAGGUACGAAAGCGUGGGUAGCAAACAGG
rnacentral:rRNA from 1 species